UGCAAACCCAUGCCAUCAAGGUUAAUCAGUGUAACUGAUUUAGAUAUCUUUAGACCAGCUUGUGUCUAAUCUCCUACAUGACUGAUGAAGUCCGUGGGAGGAUUUACAGCUUGCAUGUUAUCUUCUUUUUUUAUUCUCAGAUCAAUGAAAUCAAAUCCUCUAAAUUAUUAGAUCCAUAAAAUGAUAGAGUUAUAAGAUAACUUGA
rnacentral:lncRNA from 1 species